rnacentral:lncRNA from 1 species
AAAGCUUCCUGGUAUAAGCAGAAACUGCUAGGGGGAGGGGUGCUAGCCCGGUCAGUUGGCCUGGAAAGCUCAAGCUUGUACUCCAGAGGAACUCCAUACUGAAUCCUAAUCAGCUAGAGUUCGUCCGAAGUCAGAGAGCUGGGAAUGGUGUCUGGUACAAAGACCGAACGAGGUCCAUCUACAGAACUACGAUUUUGAGGGGC